rnacentral:SRP_RNA from 1 species
CGCAAACCCAGCCAGGCCGGGAAGGGAGCGUGGCAGCCGAC